rnacentral:tRNA from 1 species
GUCUGUAGCUUAAAUAAAGCACAACUCUGAAGAGGUUGGGAUGAUUCAUCUCCAGAUC